GCCCCGUGAAAUGGAGCCAUCCAAACCAGUCCGACAGGAGUGAGGGCAGGAUUCUGCCCAACUAGUAAAAAAGAGAGAAUCAUGGGGACCUCCCAAGCUCUGAUUCUGUGGACGCUGAGUGAGACGGGCAAAGAGGGCUCUCUUGCUGUGGAACAGGGGCUGAGAUGGUGAGGGGGACAGGGGGUCCUCCCAACACACAAAGGAUAUGGAAGCUGCAGCCCGUUUUGCCACGAAAGCAGCCACUGCAGGGCAUAUUUGUACAACGUACUUCUGAGAGAACCCAGACCUGCUGCGGGGCUGGCCAGAGCAUUGGCAGAGUCUGGACACGGCUGUGACUGAACAUCAGUUCUCCAGGCAGGGGAAGCCAGCCAGUGACAAGGACGAGCAAGGCAUGCUCCUACACGGCAGGUGAGCCCGCUGGUCUCUGGAGAGUGAGAGACACCAGGAGCAGGGCUGCCCCAGCCAAACCCCAAGCCCACGUUGUGAAGCAGAGC
rnacentral:lncRNA from 1 species